CAUUUAGCAAACUGAUUCUAAGACUUGUGGUUAUUUCGUCAUGCGUUAUAUGAAAGAAAAUGUGGAGGACAAGAACUUGGAGUUUGCUACCAAGUGGGAAAGGAAAUCAAAUCUUGCUUACACACAGAAGGAUAUUGAUGUGGUUCGAGCUGAAUGGGCAAAUCAUGUUAUGAAGCUCUAACUUUGGUUCUGUUUAAGGUAGAUGAGUAGCACCAGGAACUGCUUUUGUGCAUUUAUAUAUAACUGAUGGAAAGUGUUGAUGAACCUAAAUUAUGCAUGCAGUUGCUUUGCUUAGCUACUCUUUCUUUACCUUAUAGGUUUUUGACUUAGUGCAAUAUUAGGUAAAUGAUCGAGAUCGAUGAGAUGGUUUUUUGGUUCUCUUGAUCAUUAUGUAACUGUUGGCUAGGUUUAGAGUUGGAACUAUGGAUUGUAUUUUGGAUGAUGUUGAUGCAAUUAAUGAAACGUAGCCAUCAUUUUCAAUGCA